UAACCGUUGAACUAUACAUACAAGCUUUUGGCGCUCUCUAGUGGCCAACCGAAAUCGCCAAAUAAACAAACAGCAGCGAUGGCUCAAGCGAAGGACACGCACAAAUGGACACCACAGGAGACCAGACGGCUCAUUAAUUUCAGAGCGACCAGGGAAAAUGAGUUCCUAAAAUCAAAAAUGAUUGCCAGAAAACAGUGGGAGCUUUUUCUGGAAGAAAUGGGGAUGGAGGGGAAAGUGACCAGGCAACAGGCUUCAAAGAAGUGGGAGAACCUUAAAAAUAAGUACAAGGUAUGUGUCUAGUUUGAAAUAAACAAUUACCAAUUGCCUAAUGCAGUGGUUUUCAAACUGUGGGGCGCGCCCCCCCUGGGGGGCGCCAGAGUUCUUCAGGGGGGGCGCGACGUGAGAAAAAAAUAAACCCGAAGAAAAACCUGAAAGUCGAUGAUUCAAAUCAUCAAUCGUACUUCAACUGUAGAAGUAACCUAAUGUAACGACCCUCAUUUCCAGGCAUCCAUGAAUAAAGAUUCAGAGACCGGGAUUCCUCCGUAACAUUUAAUCCUGCAUUCACAAUAUAACAAAUUCCAAUGUGACUGUGUGAAUUGCCAACAGGGUUUCCCUAGUUCUAAGGAACGGGUCAACACACUGGAUGACGCAGUCAUUUCACCUACAUACAUACACAUUACAUCAACAACAUUCUCAAGCUAUUUACAUUAGGAAAUUAUCACGUACCUGCAUUCACAAUAUAACAAAUUCCAAUGUGACUGCGUGAAUCUAGAAUAGCAAAAACCAAAGGAGAACAAUGCUCUCCAUCACAGACAUACAGCAUGUGUUUGCCGCCAAAACCACAAAGUAAAUCAUAAAGCCUGUUAACACCAUACUUAACUUAAAAACGCUAUAUACAUAUUAUUAAAUCAAAAUGUGUAAAUAAAACAUGCUAAUUUAUUGAAAUAUCAAAUUAUAUACAGAGCGCUCCGUAGAACCUGCUUACCGCCAACAGGGUUUCCCUAGUUCUAAGGAACUAUGGGUAGCGCUAACGCCCAAAAAGCGUGAAAAUAAAAGACAUGCAGUCACGCAGCCUCAUAUUAAGAUAUUGAAUGCGGUACAACAUAUUAACAUGUAAAAUAACAAUGGCAUGUUAAUAUUAUAAUUUUGUGAGAAUUCAAAUUUCCAACUUUCUUUUUUAACUCUGUUACACUAACUAAAUCAAUUUUCAACCGUUUAUCUUCGUGCAAACCAUUUAACAAAUCUACACACUUGUAUCUUCAAUAAUAUCGAAACAGAAUUUCGAUAUCAUUUAAAAUUUCUUCAGAACCACCGUUUUAGUUUCAUACCGCUUCGUUUUCAGCUGUUUUCAUUGAAGACGUCUGCCCAUUCUGAUACACCUACUUCUAGACAUCGUAACUCAUUCAUUUUUCAACCGUUUACCAUCGUUCAAACCAUUGAACAAAUCUACACACUUGUAUCUUCAAUACUAUCCAAACGGAAUUUUGAUAGCAUUUAGACUUUUUUCAGAAUCACAGUUUUAGUUUCAAACCGGCAUCGUUUUCAGUUGCUUAUAAUAAUUUAGGUCACCAUAGCAACGCUGCCUCAUAGCAACCAUAACCCCGCCGAAUAGUCGAAUCUCUGGACUGAAAAAGCAGAUCUGAUUAGACUCUGAAAAUUCAGAGUCGGGGACCCUGAAUGAAUCUGUGUAAACUGGCAGUUUACACAGAUUAAGAUGUUCAAAUGUAUUUAAAAAAGGUUAAGCUAAAACAUGCUUAGAUAAAGUUGCUAAAUUGUGUUAAGAAAUGUGUUUAAAAACGCACAAAGAUGUUGUAAUGUUUCAGAAAUAUGUUUAAAAUGUUUAAAAAAUAUGUUUAAAAAAUAUGUUUUAAAUGUUUUAAAAUUAUGAUCAGAGAUGUUUAAAAUGUGUAAAAUAAUUAAGAUAGCUUUCAAAACACAGGUCUUUAGAAAAAAAAAAAUUGGGCGGGGGGGGGGGCUCAGCUGAAUUUUUUUCUCUGAGGGGGGGCUCACUCUCUCACACUUUGAAAACCCCUGGCCUAAUGAAUGUAUCAACCAAACGAGACCAUUGUGUUUGUUGUAAUUGAGUAUUUGCUGUGUGUGUGUGUGUGUGUGUGUGUGUGUGUGUGUGUGUGUGUGUGUGUGUGUGUGUGUGUGUGUGUGCGUGCGUGUUUUUUUUCAGGAUUUGAGGACUCCCAAAACUGGGUCAGGGACUGAAAGUGGAGAGGUGACUGUGGCGACGUGGCAGUAUUUUGACUUAAUGCACGAGGUUCUUGGUGCCCGGCCAGCAAUUGACCCACCAGUCCUCGUGUCAUCUAUUCAAGACCCUAUGGUUAUCCUCAUGGUGAGGGUGAUGUGGUUUCAUGAAUUUCACUAACUGCUAUUCAAACAUGUUUCAUGAGAUAUUAGCUAAACAUUUCUAAAGAAAAUGACUUCUAACAACUGACUUGCGUUGUUUCUUUAGGAGAUGGUGGAGCCCUACACCCAAGCACCCCUGACAGCAACCAGCACCCCAGUACACCCUACCACAUCCAUCAUACCACCACGAAGGAGGUCCAAAACAGUGGCAGAACUCCUGGCUGAGGAGGCCCUUCAGGAGCAGAGGCGCCAUGAGGCCAAGACGGAUCACUUUCUGGAGCUCUUUGAGAGGAUGGUCAACAAAUUAUAAUUAUUGAUUAUUGUUGUUCCUAUGUUUUUUAUUCUUGC
rnacentral:lncRNA from 1 species